CGAUGCAACGCGAAGAACCUUACCUAGACUUGACAUCCCGGGAAUUCUUAGGAACUAGAAGUGCUUCGGGAGCCCGGUGACAGGUGCUGCAUGGCUGUCGUCAGCUCGUGUCGUGAGAUGUUGGGUUAAGUCCCGCAACGAGCGCAACCCUUAUCUUUAAUUGCCAUCAUUAAGUUUGGGCACUUUAGAGAGACUGCCGGUGUUAAACCGGAGGAAGGUGGGGAUGACGUCAAGUCCUCAUGGCCUUUAUGCUUAGGGCUACACACGUGCUACAAUGGGUAGUACAAAGAGAAGCCAACUCGCGAGAGUGCGCAAAUCUCAAAAAGCUAUCCUAAGUUCGGAUUGAAGUCUGCAACUCGACUUCAUGAAGCUGGAAUCGCUAGUAAUCGCGGAUCAGCAUGCCCGCGGUUCGAAUACGUUCCGGGCCUU
rnacentral:rRNA from 1 species